rnacentral:rRNA from 1 species
AAACAGGUUAAUAUUCCUGUACUUGGUGUUACUGCGAAGGGGGGACGGAGAAGGCUAUGUUAGCCGGGCGACGGUUGUCCCGGUUUAAGCAUGUAGGCGGAGGUUCCAGGUAAAUCCGGUACCUUUUAACGCUGAGGUGUGAUGACGAGGCACUACGGUGCUGAAGUAACAAAUGCCCUGCUUCCAGGAAAAGCCUCUAAGCAUCAGGUAACACGAAAUCGUACCCCAAACCGACACAGGUGGUCAGGUAGAGAAUACCAAGGCGCUUGAGAGAACUCGGGUGAAGGAACUAGGCAAAAUGGUGCCGUAACUUCGGGAGAAGGCACGCUGAUAUGUAGGUGA